rnacentral:rRNA from 1 species
AUUGAACGCUGGCGGCAGGCCUAACACAUGCACGUCGAACGGAGUGGCGGACGGGUGAGUAAUGCCUAGGAAUCUGCCUGGUAGUGGGGGAUAACGUCCGGAAACGGGCGCUAAUACCGCAUACUCUCAGAUGAGCCUAGUUCGGAUUCGCUAGUUGGGGGGGUAAAGGCCUACCAAGGCGACGAUCCGUAACUGGUCUGAGAGGAUGAUCAGCAACAUUGUAACUGAGAAACGGUCCAGACUCCUACGGGAGGCAGCAGUGGGGAAUAUGGGACAAUGGGCGAAAGCCUGAUCCAGCCAUGCCGCGUGUGUGAAGAAGGUCUUCGGAUUGUAAAGCACUUUAAGCUGGGAGGCGUUACCAACAGAAUAAGCACCGGCUAACUUCGUGCCAGCAGCCGCGGUAAUAC